AGAGUUUGAUCAUGGCUCAGAAUGAACGUUGGCGGCGUGGAUUAGGCAUGCAAGUCGCACGAGAACCCCGGCAAGGGGGGACAGUGGCAAACGGCGUAGUAAGGCGUAGGUGACGUACCCCGAGGACCGGGAUAGCCACGGGAACUGUGGUAAUACCGGAUAAUUCCCCUCUUCUUGAAAAGGAGGGGGCAAAGGUGAGAGUCCGUCUUGGGAGCGGCUUACGUAGUAUUAGCUAGUUGGUGAGGUGACGGCUCACCAAGGCGAUGAUGCUUAGGGGGUGUUAGCGCAUGACCCCCACGACUGGGACUGAGAUACUGCCCAGACACCUACGGGUGGCUGCAGUCGAGAAUCUUCGGCAAUGGGCGCAAGCCUGACCGAGCGACGCCGCGUGCGGGAUGAAGGCCCUUGGGUUGUAAACCGCUGUCAGAGGGGAUGAAAUGUAUGUGGGCACUCCCAUGUAUUUGACAUAGCCUCAGAGGAAGCACGGGCUAAGUUCGUG
rnacentral:rRNA from 1 species